AGGACGAACGCUGGCGGCGUGCUUAACACAUGCAAGUCGAGCGGAAAGGCCCUUCGGGGUACUCGAGCGGCGAACGGGUGAGUAACACGUGAGCAAUCUGCCCUUAGCUUCGGGAUAGCUCCGGGAAACCGGAAUUAAUACCGGAUAUGACUAUGGCUGACAUCAGCCACGGUGGAAAGUUUUCGGCUAGGGAUGAGCUCGCGGCCUAUCAGCUAGUUGGUGGGGUAACGGCCUACCAAGGCGGUGACGGGUA
rnacentral:rRNA from 1 species